GACGUAGGGCGCGAGCGUUGUCCGGAUUUAUUGGGCGUAAAGAGCUCGUAGGCGGCUUGUCGCGUCGACUGUGAAAUCCCGCGGCUCAACUGCGGGUCUGCAGUCGAUACGGGCAGGCUAGAGUUCGGUAGGGGAGACUGGAAUUCCUGGUGUAGCGGUGAAAUGCGCAGAUAAUCAGGAGGAACACCGAUGGCGAAGGCAGGUCUCUGGGCCGAUACUGACCGUUGAGGAGCGAAAGCGUGGGGAGC
rnacentral:rRNA from 1 species